rnacentral:rRNA from 1 species
UACGUAGGGUGCGAGCGUUGUCCGGAUUUAUUGGGCGUAAAGGGCUCGUAGGCGGUCUGUCGCGUCUGCCGUGAAAACCCGAGGCUUAACCUCGGGCUGGCGGUGGAUACGGGCAGACUAGAGGUAGGUAGGGGAGAAUGGAAUUCCCGGUGUAGCGGUGAAAUGCGCAGAUAUCGGGAGGAACACCGGUGGCGAAGGCGGUUCUCUGGGCCUUACCUGACGCUGAGAAGCGAAAGCGUGGGGAGCGAACAGG